UUGUGUGAUGAAAAACAGGGGAGGCUGCACCAGAUUGAGCAGAAAAAGAUGUAGCAAAAGAACGCCAGUACUGUCUGGAA